rnacentral:rRNA from 1 species
CAGCCGCCGCGGGAAUACAGAGGGUGCGAGCGUUAAUCGGAUUUACUGGGCGUAAAGCGUGCGUAGGCGGCUUCUUAAGUCGGAUGUGAAAUCCCUGAGCUUAACUUAGGAAUUGCAUUCGAUACUGGGAAGCUAGAGUAUGGGAGAGGAUGGUAGAAUUCCAGGUGUAGCAGUGAAAUGCGUAGAGAUCGGAAGGAACAUCUGUGGCGAAGGCGGCCCCCUGGACAAAGACUGACGCUCAGGUGCGAAAGCGUGGGGAGCAAACAGGAUUAGAUACCCCAGUAGUCCCUGUCUCUUAUAC